rnacentral:rRNA from 1 species
UACGUAGGGCGCAAGCGUUGUCCGGAAUUAUUGGGCGUAAAGAGCUCGUAGGCGGUUUGUCGCGUCUGCUGUGAAAUCCCGAGGCUCAACCUCGGGCUUGCAGUGGGUACGGGCAGACUAGAGUGCGGUAGGGGAGACUGGAAUUCCUGGUGUAGCGGUGGAAUGCGCAGAUAUCAGGAGGAACACCGGUGGCGAAGGCGGGUCUCUGGGCAGUAACUGACGCUGAGGAGCGAAAGCGUGGGGAGCGAACAGG